CAACACUCAUAAAAAGAAUCACAGAAGCUUUCAUAUUACCAAAUGGUUUUAAUGGCCUUACAGAUUUGGUGAAUCAAAAUGAAACAUCUCCACCUCUCAUCCCCCCCUUAUUUUUUUUCUAGAUCAAGGUGAAAUUGAUUGUCAUAGCCGAGUUUUAAGAGUCCAUAUUCCUGAAGCCCCCGUGAGCAAGAUGGUUCGCUAAUCUUGGCUGUCAGCUCUCCUUUCAGUCUUGUACACAAAGCUCCACAGAUGCCAUAGGGAGUCAACGUCGUCAGUAGGUCUUCGAACCAACUUUGACAUUCGCCACACGGUCUGCCACAGUAAAGUACACCGAGAAAUUAGUAGAGUUCACCAGGGCCUGGUGUUUUUCUUACCACGCUAGAUAUACAGGAGCUGUUGGGGUUGGGUUUUAGAAGAGGAGUUGGAGGAGUGAAGAUGUUUCUCGGCCUCGGUUUUUUCUCAACAGUGAAGACGUAGAAGGAGGAAGAGGGAAACCAUGACCACAUGGACAGUCGACUGGAGGACGCAGACGGCAGACCCGGUGGGAGCGGCUGUGGUGGCAGCAGCGAGCGUGGUAGCAGCCUGUAAAUAGCUCUCCUGGGGCAGGAGCAGCGCCAGAAGCAGCAGCCCCAGCUGAAGCCUGAUCAACACCGCUCUUCCCAUGGCCCCCUGUCGCCUUGAGCUCUGUGCUCGGUCCUGAGCUCCCGGUGGCUGCAGGCGAAAUGGCCAGGCCAGUAGCGGCAGGGCCUUAGAUACCCUCCCCCGCCAGGAGCAUCACAAUGCCACCUGCAUCGUGGGCGGGGGUGGGGCGGGUGGGGCUUUAGCAUCAGCCAGGGAGUGUCAUAAUGCCAAUGCCAACCCCUGCUGGUUGGCAAAGGGGCCUUUGGUGCCCCUCCCCUCCACCCUGCAGGUGCCCCCACACACACCUGUACACCACACCCUGCCUCCACAGCCUCAAUUGCCUGUUACUUUGCCUUUGAAACCAAACAUCUAGAACUUAUUGGGAGCCCCUGAGCCUCAUUACUUAGAAAUAUAAGAUUCCCACUGUCCGUCUUCCGAAGGGCAUUAUUUUUCUCCGGAUCCUUAACAGCAGCGCAUGUUUGUUGUUGAAGAGGGAGGCUGCUGGGUGAGACUUCACUGGGGCUGGUGUCUGCCCUUCUGGAGGUGAAGCGCCAUGGCAGCACUGGCUUUUGUGAGCCAAUUGCAACCUCUGAUAUUUACUGAGCAGUCCAGGACUUCUCAUGAAUGACCAAUUUGGUCCAUCUCCGGACGCUGUGAGGGCUGGAGUCACAGAUUCCACAGACGCUCAGCUCCAUCGCUGACCUGUGCCAUGGACCUGCACUGCCCUGCACCCUCUGGCCCUGCCCAGCUGCUGACACCAGGGAGUGGCCCUGUUAAGGAUGAGGUGCUACUCUGUGAGCCUGCCUUCCUUCCUUCCUUCCUUCCUUCCUUCCUUCCUUCCUUCCUCCAGCAAACACUGAGCGAGCCCCACAUGGCGCUGCUCCCUGAGGAACACAUGAACAGAGCUGAGUCUUGAGACAGGGGACAGACCAAGGCAGUCUCAUGGGGCUCGUGGUCCAGCUGCACCCACAAAGGGCGUGGUGAGCCUGUCAGGGCCCCCCUUCCCUCCUGAACCUGCUCCUUCUCUGGUCCCCAUUUUGAUGAUGGCUCCACCACCCACCACCCACCCAGACCUCCCAGAUCCGAAACCUGGGGUCACCUUCAGUCCUCCCCUGCUUUGGAAUCAAUCGUGAAGCCCUGUUAAGCAUGAAGCCUGAGUUCCCCUCAAGACCACCUUCCCCUCUGCCCUGCCUGUGUCCCCCACCAUCUCCUGGUGAGCUGGGCCUGGCUCCUCCCGGACUCCUGGCCCCAGCCUCUCCCUCUCAGGGCCCAGAGGACUCAUCCUAAUUCAAAUCUGACCAUAUGGGUAGGGCCCUUUACCAGACACCAGUGUGCUAGGAUAAUUCACAAGCCCCCCUCUCUGGCACAGGGGUCACUACCUUCCGGCUUCCACUCUCUCCCCCAAACCCAGCUCUUGGCCUCUGUCCUGUGAGAGGAAUCACUUUCUCCAUUGAACCCCUGAGGUUCCUGAGCAAAUCAGGCCCUUGGCCUGGUGCAUCUCCUCCUCCUCUUCCUGCUAACCUCCUAGUGUCUCCGUCAACACUCAGCUCAGCCAUCAACCCCACUGGGACACCCUUGUGGGUGCCCAGGUGGGUUGGACCCCCAUAGAGCACUCACACGCUGGCCCAGUACUCAGCUCUGACACUGUGCAGCAGGCAGCCUCCCACCAGGCAGUGACCUGGGGACCAGGGUGGCCCCUUCCCGCCUCUCAGGGGCUGAUGAUCCCUACACAGGACAACAGGCAAGUCUGUGGGGUUGUUCGAUGGUAAAGUGAGGGAGGGUGUGGGGCAGGAGACUCCCAGUUCUGCAGGGGUCACCCUGUCAUUUCUGCACGUGGGCGGCUCAUCUAUCCCUCCCAGCAAACCCACGCUGUCCCCACUUUGCAGAUGAGGACACUGAGGCUGGGGAGGGCAAGGGAUGUGCCCAAGUCACACAGCAGGAGGAUGAGGAUGCAGGGCUCCAUCUCACACCUCCUGGCUGCAGAGUCGGCACCUGGUUCAGCCCAGCCCUGAGCUCCUGAAGAGCCGGCGACUCCCCUCUAGGCUGUUUGCCCCCUGAGAGCAGCAGCUCUGCUUCAUUCACUCUGUGUUCCUGUCCUGCUGCUUCCCGCGCUCCAGACCCAGGACCCCCUGCAACAGCUGCUUGCUUACCAUCAGGAAGCAGCCUGGCUCAAAUAUAACCUACAAGAGCAAAUGAGAGCUCAGGGGCUGUGACAUAUAGCAGUGCCACGAUUGAAGCGGGUGAGCCCCGGGGUCCCCGAGGAAGUCACCAUUUUGUCAGAAACAAUGAGUCUGUGUCUGCCAGUUAAUCCCAACACUGCAUGGGUCAUGGCAGGGGAGGUGGCAGCGUUUUGAUGGGGCAGCAAGUCUGGUUUCCUGGGCAGAUAUCUCCCAGGAGGCAAGGGGGACUCAUUGGACAGCCUGUGAUCAAAAUGCCGCUACAGGACACCAUCUCGAUUUGCUCAAAUCCAUGGGAUCUGUGCUUUGGCUCCCUGAGUGAGCCAGGCCGUCAGGGAGGAAGAGUGUUGGUCCAAUAACCAUUUUUCCUCGCCAACUCCUGGGCUGGUACAGGCUGGCUGGCUGACCCAGAACCAUCUAGCACCCCAAGAGCCAUAGGACAGAGGCCAUAAAGGGAGGGCGAGGAAGAGGAGGGCAGCACCAACUGCUGGUUAUGGGUCAGUCGCUCAAAUGCUACGUGACGGUGGGAAACGCCUUUGCCUCUGUGAACCUCACUUUCCUCGUGUGCACAAUUGGAUAACAGCCUCUACCUCUCAAGUUGUUAAGAAGCUUAGUGAGAUGACCCCUGAAUCCCUUUGUGUGGCACCUGCUGGGCAGUGAGCACCCAGUAAACACUGACUUUUAUUAUGUGGCCGAUGUUGGCAUGGUCCACGUCUAAAUGCUUUUGAUGAUUCCUCUGGUCCCUGAAUUCCCUGAUUCUACCGACUCCAGGAGUUUCAGGACUCAUUAUCAGAGAUGGAGAAAACUCCAUCAGUGUGGGUAUGGCACCCUCAGGAUCGAAGCUGUCUAAACUUGCAGGCUGGUUUCACUAGCUUGGGGCAUCCCAGAGCUAAUGUUUAUAAGCAAAGAGCCAAAUUAAAGCAAGAAAGAAUCAUAUCAAUGUCGAGGCUGAGAAAGUUCACAGGAGCAGGAAGGAGGCCCUGGAGAAGGAGGCAAGGAAAGCAAGAUGAAAGGGAUCCACCUUCUUCUCCCUCCCACUACCAACCCCAACCUCGAGUCCCAGAAACACUAUGCAGAGCCCACCUUGUACCCCUCAAUGUAUGUUCAUCUUCUUUGAUAAUAGAACCUCAAACGUCAGGGAUCCCUGGGUGGCACAGCGGUUUGGCGCCUGCCUUUGGCCCAGGGCGCGAUCCUGGAGACCCGGGAUCGAAUCCCACAUCGGGCUCCCGGUGCAUGGAGCCUGCUUCUCCCUCUG